ACGGUCAGCAGACAGGGAGCGUCUUGUCCUCGUCCUCACCUCCCCCCGUCCUCUGACCCCUGAGGAUGUGCCAAUGCUGUUGCUAGGAGACACGUAGAGGGGCAGAGAGAAAACCCUGAAACAAGGGGAAGGUGCAAGAGCAUGUUACUUACAGGAGUGGUGGAGGACACACUGGCAUGCAGUGCAGCGGUGAAGCUGCAGCUGUAAAGUACUUGCUGCUCAGACCUGCAGGGUGGGACUGGGCUGGAUGGCAGGUUGUGUGUUUGCUGGAGUCUGAGACUCUGUGACAGUCUGUGAACCACAGAGCAGGUCAGGAGCUCCAUCAACACAUUAAAUAAUUAAAUGUAUUUCAUUUACUGCAGACUGAUUUCUAUUCGGAGCACUGUCACUGUGCAGAACUUAUUGCUGCUGAUGCUUAAAAACAAAGUCUGAGUAAGUUAUGAAUUAAAAUAGAAUUCUUAUAGAAAAGGCCUGAGUCUAACCUGGGUCAGCGCUUCUGUUCACAUCAGGGCCUCCACAGAGAUGACAGUGGUGACAGUGAGAGGAGGGGGGCGCCUCUCUGUUGCUAACAGCUGGUUUGUCUGAAAAA